UACGGAGGGAGCUAGCGUUGUUCGGAAUUACUGGGCGUAAAGCGCGCGUAGGCGGCUUUGUAAGUUAGAGGUGAAAGCCCAGUGCUCAACACUGGAACUGCCUUUAAGACUGCAUCGCUUGAAUCCAGGAGAGGUGAGUGGAAUUCCGAGUGUAGAGGUGAAAUUCGUAGAUAUUCGGAAGAACACCAGUGGCGAAGGCGGCGAGCUGGUCCAUUACUGACGCUGAGGCGCGACAGCGUGGGGAGCAAACAGG
rnacentral:rRNA from 1 species